rnacentral:rRNA from 1 species
AUUGAACGCUGGCGGCAGGCCUAACACAUGCAAGUCGAGCGGAGCGGCGGACGGGGGCGUGAUGCCUAGGCAUCUGCCAGGUACUGGUGGAUAAGGUCCGGAAACGGGCGCUGAUACCGCAUACUAUCAGAUUAGCCUAGGGUGGAUUCGCUAGUUGGGGGGGUAAAGGCCUACCAGGGCGACGGUACGUAACUGGUCUGAGAGGAUGAUCAACCACACUGGAACUGAGAAACGGUCCAGACUCCUACGGGAGGCAGCAGUGGGGAAUAUUGGAAAAUGGGCGAAAGCCUGAGCCAGCCAUGCCGCGUGUGUGAAGAAGGUUUUCGGAUUGUAAAGCACGUUAAGUUGGGAGGCGUUACCAACAGAAUAAGCACCGGCUAACUUCGUGCCAGCAGCCGCGGUAAUAC